rnacentral:rRNA from 1 species
CAGAGUGACAGGUGGUGCAUGGUUGUCGUCAGCUCGUGUCCGUGAGAUGUUGGGUUAAGUCCCGCAACGAGCGCAACCCUUGAUCUUAGUUGCCAGCAUUCAGUUGGGCACUCUAAGGUGACUGCCGGUGACAAACCGGAGGAAGGUGGGGAUGACGUCAAAUCAUCAUGCCCCUUAUGACCUGGGCUACACACGUGCUACAAUGGGCAGACCAAAGGGCAGCGAAACCGCGAGGUUAAGCCAAUCCCACAAA